GCGGCCUUGGUGUAACGGUAACACACAAUCUACUCUUUAGAAUUCUGUAUCCCUCAGAGAUUGGGUCCGGGGUUCGAGUCCCCGAGGUCGCA